UUACAGGCAAGUGGGCACCUGAGAACCCGUCACCCACCCUGUGCCUUUCUUUGGCCACCUUGGCCAGCACUGAAGACCAUUCUCAGCUCCCCCAGGGAUUCCUGGGGACAGAUUCCUUCCCUUCCAUGCCACCAUAGUGUAGGGUCAGGAACACCCCGCUCUGCCCUGUGUUUGCAUUCUGAUCUCUCCCCUUCUUUCCUUGACUGUCUGUGGUGGAUGAACUAAUGGUCAGCUUGUAAGACCCAGCUGAACUGAAUAGAGUGGUCUGGGCAUGGAAGAUCCACCUGAGGUUUGUUGCCAAUAGCUAUAAAAAGAGAACUGGCGGGGCUGUUGAUUUUCUAUUAGAAGCUUGCUGCGGGUGGUCCGAUGUGAACUUGCUGAGGAGGAGAUCCAGGCCUCACUGUCACUGAGAAUGGCUGCUGUUCUCAUCAGGGCGCUCUGAUCUUCACUGACCUGCUUCCUCCUGGACAUCCCUCUGGGCCAAGGCUGGACACGGUAGGACCGGCACCAGGAGCCCCUGUCUGAUGGGGUCACCAGGUGCAGGUGGUGCAUUCUGCUUACCCAGAAAUUGGCAUUUGGUGAUUUCCUCCUCUCGGCCAUGGUGAAGAAUGACGCAAGUACAAAUGGCCUUUGGAGACCCUGUUUUCAACUCUGGACUGAGAAUUGAAUCCAGGACCUUUGCACUGAGCUACAUCUUGACACCUCUGCCCCCAACCCUUCACCCUUUUUUUUUUUUUUUCUGGUACCAGGGAUUGAACUCAGGACCUUGCACUUUCGA